rnacentral:rRNA from 1 species
GACGAACGCUGGCGGCGUGCUUAACACAUGCAAGUCGAACGGAAAGGCCCUGCUUUUGUGGGGUGCUCGAGUGGCGAACGGGUGAGUAACACGUGAGUAACCUGCCCUUGACUUUGGGAUAACUUCAGGAAACUGGGGCUAAUACCGGAUAGGAGCUCCUGCUGCAUGGUGGGGGUUGGAAAGUUUCGGCGGUUGGGGAUGGACUCGCGGCUUAUCAGCUUGUUUGUGGGGUAGUGGCUUACCAAGGCUUUGACGGGUAGCCGGCCUGAGAGGGUGACCGGCAAACUUGGGACUGGGAUACGGCCCGGAGUCCUACGGGAGGCAGCAGUGGGGAAGAUUGCACAAUGGGCGGAAGCCUGAUGAAGCAACGCCGCGUGCGGGAUGACGGCCUUCGGGUUGUAAACCGCUUUCGCAUGUGACGAAGCGUGAGUGACGGUAAUGGGUAAAGAAGCACCGGCUAACUACGUG